rnacentral:ncRNA from 1 species
UAAAAGUUUGGUCCUAGCUUUAUUAUUAAAUAUUUCUUAACUUACACAUGCAAGUCUCAGCACACCAGUGAGGACGCCCUUAAUUUCUCCUCCAGAUAAAGGAGCCGACAUCAGGCACAAAACUUUUGCCCACAACGUCUAGUCCAACCACACCCACAAGGGAAUUCAGCAGUGAUAAAGAUUGUCUAUAAGCGCCAGCUUGAGUCAGUUAAAGAAAAGAGGGCCGGCUAACCUGGUGCCAGCCGCCGCGGCUACACCAUGGGGCUCAAAUUAAUAAUUAUCGGCGUUAAGCGUGGUUAAAGUCCCUUAAAUUAAAGUCAAAUUUAUGUUUAGCCGUGAAAAGCUUGCUACAAAGAAGAUCAAUAACGAAAGUUACUCUAAUUUUUUCUUGAACCCACGACAGCUAGAAUCACAAACUGGGAUCAGAUACCCCACUAUGCCUAGCCGUAAAAAAUUUAUCCACAACAACAAGCGCCAGGGUAUUACGAGUGCAAACUUAAAAUCCAAAGGAUUUGACGGUGUCCCACCCACCUAGAGGAGCCUGUUCUAUAAUCGAUAAUCCUCGAUUUACCUCACCAUUUCUUGCUACUCAGUCUGUAUACCUCCGUCGUAAGCUUACCAUUUGAAUGCAAAAAAGUAAGUUUAAUGAUUACUCAUCAACACGUCAGGUCAAGGUGCAACCAAUGAAACGGGAAGCAAUGGGCUACAAUUUCUAUAAUAGAACACACGAAAUACUACAUGAAAAAUAGUCAUGAAGGCGGAUUUAGUAGUAAAAGAAGAAUAGCAUGCUUCUUUUAACAAGGCUCUGGGACGUGUACAAACCGCCCGUCACCCUCUUCAAUAGCACACUUUAAUUAAUAAUCCUUAGAAGCACCUUAGAAGAGGCAAGUCGUAACAUGGUAAGUGUACUGGAAAGUGCACUUGGCAAAU